rnacentral:rRNA from 1 species
GUGGAGCUUGCUCCAUGAUUCAGCGGCGGACGGGUGAGUAAUGCCUAGGAAUCUGCCUGGUAGUGGGGGACAACGUUUCGAAAGGAACGCUAAUACCGCAUACGUCCUACGGGAGAAAGCAGGGGACCUUCGGGCCUUGCGCUAUCAGAUGAGCCUAGGUCGGAUUAGCUAGUUGGUGGGGUAAAGGCCUACCAAGGCGACGAUCCGUAACUGGUCUGAGAGGAUGAUCAGUCACACUGGAACUGAGACACGGUCCAGACUCCUACGGGAGGCAGCAGUGGGGAAUAUUGGACAAUGGGCGAAAGCCUGAUCCAGCCAUGCCGCGUGUGUGAAGAAGGUCUUCGGAUUGUAAAGCACUUUAAGUUGGGAGGAAGGGCAGUAAGUUAAUACCUUGCUGUUUUGACGUUACCAACAGAAUAAGCACCGGCUAACUUCGUGCCAGCAGCCGCGGUAAUACGAAGGGUGCAAGCGUUAAUCGGAAUUACUGGGCGUAAAGCGCGCGUAGGUGGUUUGGUAAGAUGGAUGUGAAAUCCCCGGGCUCAACCUGGGAACUGCAUCCAUAACUGCCUGACUAGAGUACGGUAGAGGGUGGUGGAAUUUCCUGUGUAGCGGUGAAAUGCGUAGAUAUAGGAAGGAACACCAGUG